AAAAUACUGCACUAUUGGUGCAUAAUCACUAUAACUGGGAUCAAAUUAUCCUAAUAUAGCAACUGGGUAGAAUGUUCAUCAAUUUGAGCUAAUUAGUUUUGAUGCUCUCUUGAUGGUCUAAAAUUGGAAGCUAUAGAAUUCUAAGGUGUGUUCAUCUUAAAAGAACAGAAUAGGAAGCUCAUCCUGGCUUCCAACUGAUAUAUC
rnacentral:lncRNA from 1 species